GUGGGGAAUCUUGCGCAAUGGGCGAAAGCCUGACGCAGCCAUGCCGCGUGAAUGAUGAAGGUCUUAGGAUUGUAAAAUUCUUUCACCGGGGACGAUAAUGACGGUACCCGGAGAAGAAGCUCCGGCUAACUUCGUGCCAGCAACCGCGGUAAUACGAAGGGGGCUAGCGUUGCUCGGAAUUACUGGGCGUAAAGGGCGCGUAGGCGGACAGCUUAGUCAGAGGUGAAAGCCCAGGGCUCAACCUUGGAAUUGCCUUUGAUACUGGCUGUCUUGAGUUUGGGAGAGGUGAGUGGAACUCCGAGUGUAGAGGUGAAAUUCGUAGAUAUUCGGAAGAACACCAGUGGCGAAGGCGACUCACUGGCCCAAUACUGACGCUGAGGCGCGAAAGCGUGGGGAGCAAACAGGAUUAGAUACCCUUGUAGUCC
rnacentral:rRNA from 1 species